CAAGUUAGCGAGCGACGGUGUGUGUUUACAGCUUUGUUACCAAGGAGUCAGUUGAUUCUUCCCGCUGAAGCUGAAAUGAAAUCACAGCCCGGUCUAUGAGAUCACUCUUUCCACUUUUCCAGAAACAUUCUCUUCUCCUUGAAGAGCCAAUGAGAGAGGUGGACAGCAGGUAGGGAUGGACCCCAAAGCCAACUGCGCCCCACCAGCCCUCUUUCGAUGCCCGCCAGCCUCUGCUCUGGAAGUCUUGGCUCCUAAGGUGACACCUGGUUGUAGAAAGACUGAGUCCCUGGGAGUAAAAUCUGGGUGUUAGGCCUGCAGAUGCCGUAGCAACGUCGCGAGUCCACACUACAAAGACGCAGAGGACACUGGACCAUCAGACCACUAUACUGGGUAAGAGCAAUAACAUGGGUGGAAGGAGCCUUUUAGGAACUUCUGGAGGAAGCUGGUAUGAUUGUUUUGAGCAGGAAAAACUUCUAAAUUCUUCAAACAACAAAAUUAACUUCAAACCUCACAACAUAUUAGGCAAUCAUUCAUCACUUUGUGCUUAUGAAGCAGUCACAUGUAGGAUAAAAAACUUGGGAAAUACAACAAAAAUGUCAAGGAGAUGAUGGAAGUGCCCCGAAAUCCACCACUCGGAGACGACCACCCCACACACCACACCGUUUAGAAGCCCUGACCCUCUCCAGAAGGCUGGAACCUAACUGGUGUUCUUACUUAACAUUGCCCCAUGCACAUUUUCCGAUGUUUCUAAAAGUCUUAGGAAAUAGUUUAUACUGGUGGUGUAAGAUUUCAUCACUUGAUUUUCCAUUAUUUGUUUGAAGACAAAUGUUUGAUGACGGGUGUGGUGGUUAUUUCCCGAUUUCAUUGUUAUAAAUGAGGUGAACAUCUCCUCACAUACAUCAUUGUCUCAUUUUUUAUCAUUUCCUCGAAGUGGGUGAGUCAGCGAGGUGAUUCCAGGCAAAGGUGCUG